rnacentral:rRNA from 1 species
CGAGUUUGAUCCUGGCUCAGAUUUAACGCUAGCGUUAUGCCUAACACAUGCAAGUUGUACGGUAGUUCUACUUAUUCGUAGCGAACGGGUGAGUAAUAUAUCUAAACAUACCCUAGAGAUUGAUAUAAUUUUGUGAAAACAAUUCUAAUAUCAUAUAGAAGGAAUGCAUAAACAUUCCUAAAAGUUUUUAUAUAAACAGAUACUAUGAACGCUUUAGGAUUGGUAGAUAUCAGAUUAGUUUCUGUGUUGUUUAAUAGACGACAUAAACGAUGAUCUGUAGCUGUUCUGAGAGGAAGCACAGCCACAUCAGGACUGAGACAAGGCCUGAACCUCUGCGGAGGGCAGCAGUGAGGAAUUUUGGACAAUGAGCGAAAGCUUGAUCCAGCAAUAACGCGUGUAUGAAGAAGGCUGAAAAGUUGUAAAGUACUUUUGUUGGUCAAUAAAAUUUCAUAUACUUUUUAAAAACUAUGAAAAUGAAUAACCAAAGAAUAAGCACUGGCUAAUUACGUGCCAGCAGCCGCGGUAAUACGUAAAGUGCAAGCGUUAAUCGGAUUGAUUGGGCGUAAAGGGUGUGUAGGCGGCUUAUUAUGAUGUUUAUCAAAAAAUGAUUAUCGUCGUUUAGUAAACAUUACUGAUAAUCUUGAAUAUAUUAUAGAGGGAGGUGGAAUUUUGCAAGUAGUAGUGAAAUGCGUAGAUAUGCAAAGGAACACCAAUGGCGAAGGCAACCUCCUGGGUUUAUAUUGACGCUAAUACACUAAAGCAUGGGUAGCAAACAGGAUUAGAUACCCUGGUAGUCCAUGCCCUAAACGAUGUCAACUAACUAUGGUAAAUAAUACUUAUUGUAGUAAAGCUAACGCGUUAAGUUGACCGCCUGGGUAUUACGAUCGCAAGAUUAAAACUCAAAGGAAUUGACGGGGACCUGCACAAGCGGUGGAUGAUGUGGAUUAAUUCGAUGCAACGCGAAAAACCUUACCUACUCUUGACAUGUAUAGAAUCGAUAAAAUAUAAAGAGUGCCGAAAGGAGCUAUAACACAGGUGCUGCAUGGCUGUCGUCAGCUCGUGUCGUGAGAUGUUAAAUUAAGUUUUAUAACGAGCGCAACCCUUACUCUUUUAAAAAUUCUAUAGAAAUGUUACUGUUUUACACUGUUUUUAUUUCUAUAUUAAUAUAUCAGAGAACUGCCUUUAUACGGAGGAAGGAAAGGACGACGUCAAGUCAUCAUGGCCCUUAUGAGUAGGGCUUCACACGUCAUACAAUGGUUAGUACAAUAAUAUUUCAAAAAAAAACUAACCCUAGUUCGGAUUGAAAACUGCAACUCGUUUUCAUGAAGUAGGAAUCGCUAGUAAUCGCAGAUCAGCAUGCUGCGGUGAAUACGUUCUCAGGUCUUGUACACACCGCCCGUCACACCAUGGAAAUUAUUUAUAUCGGAAAUAUAUAGUAUACCUUCUAGGUCUUUUUAUAUAUCAUGAUAUAUGUGAUAACUGGGGUGAAGUCGUAACAAGGUAGCUGUACCGGAAGGUGCGGCUGGAU